rnacentral:rRNA from 1 species
UGGUGGAGUGAUUUGUCUGGUUAAUUCCGUUAACGAACGAGACCCCUGCCUGCUAAAUAGUCAAAUGAGUGAUUAUUCACUGAUUGUGGCUUCUUAGAGGGACGUGCAUUUUAUUAGAUGCAGGAGGAUAGGGGCAAUAACA